rnacentral:lncRNA from 1 species
AGAAUAAAUGCCUAAAUGUCUUCUUAGAAAUAUGAGGCUUUGAAAUACUGCUCAGUUAUGUCAUGGGUCUUGCUCCUCAGCUUCCUCUGAAUUUGUAGUAUCUCUAGUCAAAGGAAGGGUGAGGUUUAACAUUUCAGUCCACAAAAACUUUUACUGGAGAGGGUUAAACAUAACGAUUGGGCAAGGUUUGUCUGUCUCCUUGUCCAGCUUGCUUUUUAAAGCAAAAAUUCCCCUGACAGGGAGUACUUUUAAAUUUCAAAUCCUUUAGGGGAUAAUUGGCCAGACUGCUCGGCAGGAGCCACAGCAAAAUCCAAGCAGGCAGCUGUGGGACUGCUAUAGCCGGCCCUUUGCUCGGGCCUUUCUGAGCAGGAAGCGAGUCGCUCGCUGCCCCCGGGUGCGGGCGCGCAGGACCAGCAGCUGCCCCCAGCCACGGGCGCGCCACCUGUUUCCGCCUGGGACUUCCCCCAGCCGGCUCCGAAGUGUGGAGUCAGCAGCUUGGCCUGGCCCGGCAUCAGGGGCCCAGCGCAGCCCUACCCCACCGCCGCCUCCCGUGAGGCCCCGCCUGGAAGAGGCGUGGACUGCACCCUGGUGCGCGCGUUCUGGGCUUGGCCUUGAAAAUCAGGAUGGCGAUGACCGCUGAGCAGUUGCCCCACAGACGACAAUAUUCAGCUGCAGCAGGCCCACAAAGAGAAGGCUGUAUCUCCAGCCGAUCUGCUCCUUGAGAGCUGUGAUGGCUUGAAGCGGGGGGAGCGAAGGAAAAACUCAAAGAACCAUCUGAGAUGCUUCUGACAUUGUCACGCCACUCCUAAAUACCUGUAUCUCCUAUGAACAAAAUGCAGUCCACUGACACAGUCAUCAAGAAAUGGCAGAGAAAGAAAGAAUCUGGAUUUCCAAGGUUACCUGUCUCCUUCAGUUUUCUUGUCAUUCAUGUAUUAAUAUUAGUUAAGGAAAUAAACCAGGUAUAAAAAUUUUGCUGUGCGAUAACCCAUAUACACAUAAUAAAACUGACUUUAUUAUCAUAAUUUAAGUCCACAAUGAAUACAUGUCUUUUGAAAGGGGAGAAAAAUAUGAACAAUCCAACAUCAUUAUUUUAGAAUUGUUUUUGUUUUCCACAGAAGUCUUACCACUGAGUACGCCUCAUAUAUCUUCCUAUUUAUAUGUAAAGUUUAGCCUAGACUGAAAAGGUUUGAAUUAAUAGGGGUUGGAAGGCUAUACCCUAAAAAUGCCCUGGAAGAGAGGGGAACAACCUUUUCAUUAUGC